CGUCUCGACAUGAUUGAAGAUAGCAAUGGAGCUCCGCAAUGUCUUUUUUAAGAUGUCGGGUGGGGACGCGGAAAGCUACUGCGUGAAAGCCCUUCAUUCCAAAACCUGAUGCCCAGGAAAGACCAGGAAAAAGUGUUGGCUUAAGGCUCGGUGGGUGACCAGUAACAAUGAUUCAACCAAGCUGUUCCAGGCCUGGAGUGGCACGCUGGAACUUCCAGAGGCUUGUAACCCUGAAGCAGUGUGAUGUGAUCCAGAUCUGACAUCCCUAUUAGCUCAACCACAGUCCUCACAGCUGAAGUCGUCUGCCCCUGCACCUGCUACACCAGCCACGACAGGUGAUACAGAUCUGCCACCCCCAGCAGUUCAGCUGCAGUCACAGCAGUCCUCUGCUGUGGUAUUUAAUCUACCGGCUGCACCAGUUCCUACUACACUGGCCAUGAAGGGAGAUACUAUUGAGGAGACCCAGAUGGAUACAGAUCUGCCAUGCACUCCACCAGUGCCUGACAGACUCAUUUCUGAGAAAGCAGAGAUGGGUGGCUGACAAGGAAAAAUAAAACACAACACACACUAUCUCUCUGUCAUACACACUCACACACAUUAUCCCCAGUGUAAAUUCGUUGUAUUUACUUGUUUAUUUUAUGUUUGCUCAAUUUGAUUUUAGGAUUUGAGAUAUCUAUUCCUACAUAUCCAUUCUCAAUAUCUACAUAAUUACUCUAAAUAUCUAUCAAAUUAAAGUG